CCACCGUGCCUGGCCCCCACGCUCGUUUUAUUUCAAUUCUUCCAUCUCUAUGGCCUUCUCUGUCCUUUUUCUUGGUCACCACCUGUAUGACCAGUGCCAAUUCUCAUAGCCCCCUGCCUCACCAUUAUCCUCAUCCUCAGUUCCAACCUUACUAUCGGGGAUCUCCCUCUUGACCUUCACCCCACUCUCAGCUGAACCAGAAGCUCAGAUCCCUAAGGAAGAAGAGGAGGGAGAGGUAAGACAUGGGUGUCCCGUAGUUCCACAGACAAGCCAGGAACAGGACCCAUGCUUUGGCAUUUCUCAGCUGCUCUCCCUGCAGGUGGAAAGAUCAAGCACCUCCAGGUAGGCAACGUGAACCGAAAGAGACCGGUGAGUUACUGGCUAGAGUUGGAGUGGCCACAGUGGGGGAUUAUGGUUUCGGUUUGGAGCAGAGUAGGGCCCUCAGUUGGCCAGAAGUAAUUGACCACUCAGCUUUACUCUCCAGAAAGCUGCGGCCAUCUCAACCCCAUUUUCUCUUCACUGUUCUUUCUCUUAACCAAUGAGCUUCCAACUGUAGGGAAAUGGAGCUGCAUCCUUCUCAGGAGGUACCUAGUCAUUUAAAAAAAUACAUUUAUUGGCCGGGCGCAGUGGCUCACGCCUGUAAUCCCAGCACUUUGGGAGGCCAAGGCGGGUGGAUCACGAGGUCAGGAGUUCAAGACUAGCCUGGCCAAGAUGGUGAAACCCUGUCUCUACUGACAAUACAGAAAUUAGCAGAGCGCGGUGGCAGGCGCCUGUAAUCCCAGCUACUCAGGAAGCUGAGGCAGGAGAAUCGCUUGAACCCAGGAGGUGGAGGUUGCAGUGAGCCGAGAUCGUGCCACUGCACUCCAGCCUGGAGACAGAGCGAGACUCUCUCUCAAAAAACAAACAAACAAACAAACAAAAAACAAGUACACACACACAAAUGAGUACAAAUAAGUGUAAAAUCUGAACAACAUCAGUGGAUUGUAUCGAUGUCUAUAUCUUGGUUGUGGUAUUGUACUACAGUUGUGGAAAAUGUUACCAUCAGGGAAAACUGAGGAAAGGACACGAAGAUCUCCAUUAUUUAUUAUGACAACUUGUGA
rnacentral:lncRNA from 1 species